AAUAAUAAAAUCAACGUGUAAAUUAGACUAGGCAGAAUGAGAUGGUUGGAUGGCAUCACUGACUCAACGGACGUGAGUUUGAGCAAACUCCAAGAGAUAGUGAAGGACAGGGAAGCCUGGCGUGCUGCCGUCUGUGGGGUCGCAGAGUCGGAUACAACUUAGCGACUGAACAACAGCAAGGAUUUCCCAUCUCCUAGGAGAAAAUCUAGGGAUCUCCUCCCAAGUGAGGUCAUGUGAAGACAAAAUAAAAUACACUAACUGAGGAGGAACGGUAAGGAAGGAAGACUGAAUGUGGAUGAAAUCUUCAAUCAUAAGACUGAACAAAAGUCAAAGAAACAGCUGUUAGCUCCUUUUAAAAGGUCUGGACAGAUAUCACUCAAAAAUUAAUAACAGCAGGUUGGGUUCUCAGGAAGGUGGCUCUGAGACAGACAGGUUUGCCAGGAGUGCACUGGGGAUCAGGUGAACCUGGAGAAGAUAAGAGAGGAAAGCAGGACAAAGGAAAAGGUCAAGGGGCGAUACCGUCUCGAGCUUCGGGAUCCCCAGCUCUGAAGACAGGAUGACCGUUCAGAGCUGCCCUGAGAAUGGAGAGGGAUGGAGGGGCAGGCGAAGGGAAAGAGGAGGCGGAGGGCCCUGACAAGCCUGUGUUGCUGAAGAUGGCCUUGAAGCGGUACAUCCUUGGUAAGGUCACUCUUGACGUGAAGAGAUACCUGAAGGGAGCUGAGAGCUGGAGGCCUGUUUUCCUUCCAGCAAACCUCCCAGAAGCUGGGUAAUCAGUCCUUAAUUCCUGAACGGGAGUCUGGGCAGGGCUUUAUAAUGUUCACCACGAUUAGAAAAUGACCAGUGAGUUAAGCUGAGUGUGUCUGGGAACACAGUCCGUGCGGCAGACACUAUUAGUUGGCCGGUCAAGAUCCAGCUUCUCCUUUUGAAGCAGGAUGUCCUUAAGUCAGGUGACAUAAGAGUGGUGUCUAAACCAAUUACGAGAACUCUGUUCUCUGCUUCCCGGAGCCUCCCCCGACCCUCCCAGCCUCUGCUCGGUUACCUGUGGUCAGGGACCCUGAUGGUGAUAAGAUGACGAGACUCGGGGAAAUGUCCACAAUAGGAAUUUUGAAAAAUAUUUUGUUUUCUUUGUUAAAAAGGAACAGACGAAGCUGGCAUCCUCCUAACCUCUUCCUAAUCCCUUCUUCCUUCUCUUGUACCCAGCUGUGGUGCUUACAGCUGCAGGAGUUAUUUUGCAACUGAGGGGAAAAGAAAGGUCAAGAGAAUUUUUGAGUUUGUUCUGACAUUCAUGAGCCACUCAAUAAAGCCACA